GGUCAACUGCAAUACUUAGUGGAGGUUCUAGGCUUCCAGUUCUAGCUAAGACAAGGAACAACACAGGACAGGAUUGCAAGGAAGAUGGGAUACUGACACUGCUUCUUGAACAAGGACUCGCAUCAGACUGCUAUUUAAUUUAAUUUAAUUAUAAUUUUAUAAAAUGCGUUAAACAAAAUAGAGUAAGCAGUUUAUUAAAAUCAGCAGAGAGAGAGAGAGAGAGCAGAGGAAGCAUUCUGAACAGAAGGGCUACCAGCAAGAACUGCUGGCACCCAAAAAA